rnacentral:rRNA from 1 species
GAUAAACGCUGGCGGCGUGCCUUAUGCAUGCAAGUCGAACGGUACCGAUGAGCCAAGCUUGCUUGGAGCAUCGGGAGAGUGGCAAGCGGGUGAGUAACACGUAAGUAACCUGCCCCCAAGUAGGGAAUAACCCCGAGAAAUCGGAGCUAAUACCGUAUGUGGUGGUGGAGGUAAGGCUUCAUCACUAAAGCCUUCGGGCGCUUGGGGAGGGGCUUGUGUCCGAUUAGCUAGUUGGUAGGGUAACGGUUUACCAAGGCGAUGAUCGGUAGCUGGUCUGAGAGGACGAUCAGCCACACUGGGACUGAGAUACGGCCCAGACUCCUACGGGAGGCAGCAGCAAGGAAUUUUGUGCAAUGGGCGAAAGCCUGACACAGCGACGCCGCGUGAGGGAUGAAGGCCUUCGGGUUGUAAACCUCUUUUCUCAGGGAAGAAUAAUGACGGUACCUGAGGAAUAAGUCUCGGCUAACUACGUGCCAGCAGCCGCGGUAAUACGUAGGAGGCGAGCGUUAUCCGGAUUUACUGGGCGUAAAGAGGGCGUAGGCGGCUUUUCAAGUCGGGUGUAAAAUCUCCCCGCUUAACGGGGAGGGGUCAUUCGAUACUGUUAAGCUAGAGGGCAGCAGAGGGAGGUGGAAUUCCCGGUGGAGUGGUGAAAUGCGUAGAUAUCGGGAGGAACACCAGUGGCGAAGGCGGCCUCCUGGGCCGUUUCUGACGUUGAGGCCCGAAAGCGUGGGGAGCGAACAGGAUUAGAUACCCUGGUAGUCCACGCUGUUAACGAUGGAUACUAGGUAUAGGGAGUAUCGACCCUCUCUGUGCCGAAGCUAACGCGUUAAGUAUCCCGCCUGGGGACUACGGCCGCAAGGCUA